GACGAACGCUGGCGGCGUGCCUAAUACAUGCAAGUUGAGCGCUGAAGGUUGGUACUUGUACCAACUGGAUGAGCAGCGAACGGGUGAGUAACGCGUGGGGAAUCUGCCUUUGAGCAGGGGACAACAUUUGGAAACGAAUGCUAAUACCGCAUAAAAACUUUAAACACAAGUUUUAAGUUUGAAAGAUGCAAUUGCAUCACUCAAAGAUGAUCCCGCGUUGUAUUAGCUAGUUGGUGAGGUAAAGGCUCACCAAGGCGAUGAUACAUAGCCGACCUGAGAGGGUGAUCGGCCACAUUGGGACUGAGACACGGCCCAAACUCCUACGGGAGGCAGCAGUAGGGAAUCUUCGGCAAUGGACGAAAGUCUGACCGAGCAACGCCGCGUGAGGGAAGAAGGUUUUCGGAUCGUAAAACUCUGUUGGUAGAGAAGAACGUUGGUGAGAGUGGAAAGCUCACCAAGUGACGGUAACUACCCAGAAAGGGACGGCUAACUACGUG
rnacentral:rRNA from 1 species